UUUAUUCAUUCCAUUCUACUCUUAGAAAAGGAAUAUGAAAAAAUCUCUUGCAUUAAUAGUCUUAUUAUACUUUCUUCUACUAAUGGUGGUACACAUUCCAGCAAACGAAGCGUUAAGGUAUUUACCAAACGAGCGUCUUGGCAAUUUACAGUUUCUACAAAAAGGUGAAGUUACUCCUUCUAAUCCUUCUAGCUGCACACAUAUCCCUGGCGGCCACGGGCCGCCAUGCCCUUUCCAAGAACGCCAUUUUGCUGGCCUCGCUAAAGUGCUACAACAAUGACAUGAAUUUACCAAUUUGGUAAAACCAUGUUCAUAGCUACUACACCUGCUCAUAAUUUAUUGAUUAACUAACGACGUGUAUAUAUAAUACUGUUAAGCAACCCAAAUCCCACUCCUCCUCCCUUUUCUUGUUUUGUUUUUCUUUGAUUACAAAUGAAUUUCAGUUUUGAAAUUGUAAAUACAAAUUUAAAAUCUACUGUCUAAAUGAUAAGUGGAAUGUCAUGUAUGUAUCUCUUGG
rnacentral:sRNA from 1 species